rnacentral:lncRNA from 1 species
UUCAUACAAGCAAGCGCAUACAUGGCAGUACAUAUCAUCUAAAUGAAACGAUGCGUUUCAUUAAAACACAUCAUCACGCCACUCAUCAGUUUAACACUAGCGUGGCAAGGUCAAUGCAAUCAGGACCAAUCAAACAGACACGCAACAGGCCACAUUGAAUACACACGACAUAAACCCUAACAAAUAACCAGACGCCGGAGCUACAGUCUCCGGUCGUCUUCUCCGGCCAAGUUCCGGUGAGUUCAACCACAAA